GACUGGAUAGGAAGAUAAAAGGCAUCUUUUAUCUUUUAAAAGACCUAGUAAUAGGUAUGCUUUAGGAGGGGCUUGCGCCAUAUUAGUUAGUUGGUAGGGUAAUGGCCUACCAAGACGAUGAUGUGUAGCUGGACUGAGAGGUUGAACAGCCACAUUGGGACUGAGACACGGCCCAAACUCCUACCGGAGGCAGCAGUAGGGAAUUUUCGGCAAUGGAGGAAACUCUGACCGAGCAACGCCGCGUGAAUGACGAAGUACUUCGGUAUGUAAAGUUCUUUUAUCAAGGAAGAAAAGCAAAUGGCGAACCAUUUGUUUGCCGGUACUUGAUGAAUAAGCCCCGGCUAAUUAUGUGCCAGCAGCCGCGGUAAGACAUAAGGGGCAAGUGUUAUCCGGAAUUAUUGGGCGUAAAGGGUGCGUAGGCGGUCUAGUAAGUCAGUGGUGUAAUGGCAACGCUUAACGUUGUCCGGCUAUUGAAACUGCUAAACUUGAGUUAGAUAGAGGCGAGUGGAAUUCCAUGUGUAGCGGUAAAAUGCGUAAAUAUAUGGAGGAACACCAGAGGCGUAGGCGGCUCGCUGGGUCUUAACUGACGCUGAGGCACGAAAGCGUGGGGAGCAAACAGGAUUAGAUACCCUGGUAGUCCACGCCGUAAACGAUGAGUACUAAGUGUCGGGUUAAACCGGUACUGAAGUUAACACAUUAAGUACUCCGCCUGAGUAGUACGUACGCAAGUAUGAAACUUAAAGGAAUUGACGGGACUCCGCACAAGCGGUGGAUCAUGUUGUUUAAUUCGAAGAUACCCGAAAAACCUUACCAGGUCUUGACAUGUUUUUGCAAAAUGAUAGUAAUAUCGUGGAGGUUACCAGAAACACAGGUGGUGCAUGGUUGUCGUCAGCUCGUGUCGUGAGAUGUUAGGUUAAGUCCUAAAACGAGCGAAACCCUUAUCGUUAGUUGCCAGCACGUUAUGGUGGGGACUUUAACGAGACUGCCAAUGAUAAAUUGGAGGAAGGUGAGGAUCACGUCAAAUCAGCAUGCCCCUUAUGACCUGGGCUACAAACGUGAUACAAUGGCUGUUACAAAGGGUAGCUGAAACGCAAGUUCUUGGCCAAUCCCCAAAAACAGUCCCAGUCCGGAUUGAAGUCUGCAACUCGACUUCAUGAAGUUGGAAUCGCUAGUAAUCGCGAAUCAGCAUGUCGCGGUGAAUACGUUCUCGGGGUUUGUACACACCGCCCGUCAAACCACGAAAGUUGGC
rnacentral:rRNA from 1 species